rnacentral:rRNA from 1 species
AUUGAACGCUGGCGGCAUGCCUUACACAUGCAAGUCGGACGGUAACAGGUCUUCGGAUGCUGACGAGUGGCGAACGGGCGAGUAAUACAUCGGAACGUGCCUAGUAGUGGGGGAUAACUACUCGAAAGAGUGGCUAGUACCGCAUGAGAUCUACGGAUGAAAGGAGGGGAUCGCAAGACCUUGUGCUACUAGAGCGGCCGAUGGCAGAUUAGGUAGUUGGUGGGAUAAAAGCUUACCAAGCCGACGAUCUGUAGCUGGUCUGAGAGGACGAUCAGCCACACUGGGACUGAGACACGGCCCAGACUCCUACGGGAGGCAGCAGUGGGGAAUAUUGGACAAUGGGCGCAAGCCUGAUCCAGCAAUGCCGCGUGUGUGAAGAAGGCCUUCGGGUUGUAAAGCACUUUUGUCCGGAACGAAAAGCGAUGGGUUAAUAACCUGUCGUGCUGACGGUACCGGUUGAAUAAGCACCGGCUAACUUCGUGCCAGCAGCCGCCGUAA